CGGCGGACGGGUGAGUAACACGUGGGUAACUUACCUAUAAGACUGGGACAACUUCGGGAAACCGGAGCUAAUACCGGAUAAGAUAUCGAACCGCAUGGUUCGAUAGUGAAAGAUGGUUUUGCUAUCACUUAUAGAUGGACCCGCGCCGUAUUAGCUAGUUGGUGAGGUAACGGCUCACCAAGGCAACGAUACGUAGCCGACCUGAGAGGGUGAUCGGCCACACUGGAACUGAGACACGGUCCAG
rnacentral:rRNA from 1 species